UAAGUGAAUAGUGAAAUCUGGUGGCUCAACCAUACAGGCUAUUAUUCAAACUGGCAAACUCGAGAGUGAUAGAGGUCACUGGAAUUUCUUGUGUAGGAGUGAAAUCCGUAGAUAUAAGAAGGAACACCGAUGGCGUAGGCAGGUGACUGGACCAUUUCUGACGCUAAGGCACGAAAGCGUGGGAGCGGACCGGAUUAGAUACCCGGGUAGCCCACGCCGUAAACGAUGGAUACUG
rnacentral:rRNA from 1 species